rnacentral:sRNA from 1 species
UGAUAGGUGGGUAUCGGGUUUUCUCAAU